UCUUGGCCAGCCUUCUGAAAGGAAGAUUAAUCCAGGAUGGGAUCAUGAGUUCACAUGUCCGCAUGAUUAAAGGUAUUUUCCGGUAGACGAUGGGGAUGCGUUCCAUUAGAUAGUAGGCGGGGUAACGGCCCACCUAGUCAACGAUGGAUAGGGGUUCUGAGAGGAAGGUCCCCCACAUUGGAACUGAGACACGGUCCAAACUCCUACGGGAGGCAGCAGUGAGGAAUAUUGGUCAAUGGGCGAUGGCCUGAACCAGCCAAGUAGCGUGAAGGAUGACUGCCCUAUGGGUUGUAAACUUCUUUUAUAAAGGAAUAAAGUCGGGUGUGCAUACCCGUUUGCAUGUACUUUAUGAAUAAGGAUCGGCUAACUCCGUGCCAGCAGCCGCGGUAAUACGGAGGAUCCGAGCGUUAUCCGGAUUUAUUGGGUUUAAAGGGAGCGUAGAUGGAUGUUUAAGUCAGUUGUGAAAGUUUGCGGCUCAACCGUAAAAUUGCAGUUGAUACUGGAUGUCUUGAGUGCAGUUGAGGCAGGCGGAAUUCGUGGUGUAGCGGUGAAAUGCUUAGAUAUCACGAAGAACUCCGAUUGCGAAGGCAGCCUGCUAAGCUGCAACUGACAUUGAGGCUCGAAAGUGUGGGUAUCAAACAGGAUUAGAUACCCUGGUAGUCCACACGGUAAACGAUGAAUACUCGCUGUUUGCGAUAUACGGCAAGCGGCCAAGCGGAAGCGUUAAGUAUUCCACCUGGGGAGUACGCCGGCAACGGUGAAACUCAAAGGAAUUGACGGGGGCCCGCACAAGCGGAGGAACAUGUGGUUUAAUUCGAUGAUACGCGAGGAACCUUACCCGGGCUUAAAUUGCACUCGAAUGAUCCGGAAACGGUUCAGCUAGCAAUAGCGAGUGUGAAGGUGCUGCAUGGUUGUCGUCAGCUCGUGCCGUGAGGUGUCGGCUUAAGUGCCAUAACGAGCGCAACCCUUGUUGUCAGUUACUAACAGGUGAUGCUGAGGACUCUGACAAGACUGCCAUCGUAAGAUGUGAGGAAGGUGGGG
rnacentral:rRNA from 1 species